AUAUAACAGUAAUUAAAAAAAGUUCUGUCGUGUUCUGGUAAUAACACCUAAUUUCCUACCCAUCACAGUUAAUCUCCCUAUUAUAU
rnacentral:sRNA from 1 species